UGGAAGUAAAAGUCGUAACAAGGUCUCCGUUGGUGAACCAGCGGAGGGAUCAUUACCGAGUUUACAACUCCCAAACCCAAUGUGAACCAUACCAAACUGUUGCCUCGGCGGGGUCACGCCCCGGGUGCGUCGCAGCCCCGGAACCAGGCGCCCGCCGGAGGGACCAACCAAACUCUUUUCUGUAGUCCCCUCGCGGACGUUAUUUCUUACAGCUCUGAGCAAAAAUUCAAAAUGAAUCAAAACUUUCAACAACGGAUCUCUUGGUUCUGGCAUCGAUGAAGAACGCAGCGAAAUGCGAUAAGUAAUGUGAAUUGCAGAAUUCAGUGAAUCAUCGAAUCUUUGAACGCACAUUGCGCCCGCCAGUAUUCUGGCGGGCAUGCCUGUCCGAGCGUCAUUUCAACCCUCGAACCCCUCCGGGGGGUCGGCGUUGGGGACCUCGGGAGCCCCUAAGACGGGAUCCCGGCCCCGAAAUACAGUGGCGGUCUCGCCGCAGCCUCUCCUGCGCAGUAGUUUGCACAACUCGCACCGGGAGCGCGGCGCGUCCACGUCCGUAAAACACCCAACUUCUG
rnacentral:rRNA from 1 species